rnacentral:lncRNA from 1 species
CAGCAUUUAGACAGAGCCACAGGGCUGUAAAAACAGUGUCAGACAGUCUCCAACAAACUAAAAGCAGCCUACGACCAACAACAGGACAGUCUGAAAUGAAAACUUAACAGACAAGCUGAGACAAGUUCAACAUAAGACACUAACACAGACUACGAUUGUUACAGCGGUGCAUCCUGGGAGCUCACGUCCCAUAUCAGAGGAGAUCUGGUGGUGCCUACAGCCAACACGCCUGAGGAGGUGGGAUGGAAGAGCAGCAGCUCCAGCCUGCCAAGUCCUGGAUGCAGGUCACUAUGGCAAUCCAACGAGUGUCUGCAACCCUUGGCAAUUUAGUGAAAGACGUCUACAACAAGGAAGGCUGUAAUUUGCUGCAAAAAGGUAUUAUAUAUUUGACAAACUUACAACUACCGCCUCGCUGUAUGAUGCGGACAAUUUUAUUUCAUUUUCACAAUCUGGAAGUAGUCGUUAACUGUCUAUUUCAUUGUAGCUUUGGGAAUGACGAAGCCUUGUGUGAAGCCUGUAGCCUUGGAGAAAGCGAUGAGUUCAAUUUCUCACAUACAGAAGAAGAAAUAUAAAUAUAUAUUUGCUUCAGUAUAUUAACACAGAGUUAAAGACAAUUUAGACAAAUACAUUAUCUGUAAAAUGUGUUCAUUAUGUG